AGCCCUGGGAGCUGUCGUCACUCUCCUGCUCUGGGGUCAGCUUUUUGCUGUGGAAUUGGGCAAUGAUGCCACAGACAUUGAAGGUGAGUCUCAGGGGUUUCCCAGGAGCUGUGCACCCCAGCAGGGCUGUGGCCCUGUCUGACCACAUCAGUCCCGCACUGUAUUAAGGAAGACCCAGAUCCUCCUCUCGCCUAGACCCUCGGGGCCUCCCUUCCUCAGCUUCCACUCGGUGCAAGGGAGUCUGGUGUUCAGGGCAGCUCCGUCUCUUCUGGCUUUGCACGGGGAGCCAUCUGAGCACCCACAGCCCUUUCCUGGCUUCUUUCUCUUGGCAGAUGACAGCUGCCCAAAGCCCCCAGAGAUUGCAAACGGCUAUGUGGAACACUUGGUUCGUUAUCGCUGCCGACAGUUCUACAAACUACAGACCGAAGGAGAUGGUAAGGCUGUUUGAGCAUGCCUCCAUCACACCCCUGGCCCUGUUUGAUGGGUAGGGCUAGGCUGUCACACCAGAAACUUAAGUACUGCCUGGAACCAGGGGAUUAAGAUUGGAAUAAAGUUUCUGUCUCCCAUUGGUGGUCCUCCUACCAAACUAACUUGUCUCAGCUUCCUGUUUUGUUUUGUUAAGGGGCUACAAUUCCGUGGCCCCGUUGUUUGGGAGUGUAGUUUUUUUUUUUUUUUAAAGGUUUAUUUUAUGUGAGUAUGCUGUCUUCAGACACGCCAGAAGAGGGUUGUGAGCCACCAUGGAAGAACAGUCAGUGCUCUUAACCGCUGAGCCGUCUCCAGUCCAGGGAGUGUAGUCUAUCUACGACUUUGUACAGCCUACAUUCCUGACAAUUUCUAAGAGCUUCAUUGUGUCUUUAAAGCUCCCGUGGUUCUCAUAGCCUCCUUUUGGGAGAGACACUCUUUAAUUCCAUUUUUUCAAUGAGGAAACUGAGGCACGGAGAUGCCAAGGUAGCUUGUGAGGGAAGAGUCUUGAUCUGAACUCUGACCUCUUCCUGUCCAACUCUUUCAUCAGGCCACAUUCAUUUUCUCUGAGCUCACCUCCUUUUGUUUCAGGAAUCUACACCUUAAACAGUGAGAAGCAAUGGGUGAACCCAGCUGCUGGCGAUAAACUCCCC
rnacentral:lncRNA from 1 species